rnacentral:rRNA from 1 species
CUUACCUACCCUUGACAUGGUCGGAAUCCUGCUGAGAGGUGGGAGUGCUCGAAAGAGAACCGGCGCACAGGUGCUGCAUGGCUGUCGUCAGCUCGUGUCGUGAGAUGUUGGGUUAAGUCCCGCAACGAGCGCAACCCUUGUCCUUAGUUGCUACGUAAGAGCACUCUAAGGAGACUGCCGGUGACAAACCGGAGGAAGGUGGGGAUGACGUCAAGUCCUCAUGGCCCUUAUGGGUAGGGCUUCACACGUCAUACAAUGGUCGGAACAGAGGGUUGCCAACCCGCGAGGGGGAGCUAAUCCCAGAAACCCGAUCGUAGUCCGGAUUGCACUCUGCAACUCGAGUGCAUGAAGCUGGAAUCGCUAGUAAUCG